UACGAGGGGGGCGAGCGUUGUUCGGAAUUAUUGGGCGUAAAGGGUGCGUAGGCGGUUUGAUAAGUCUGAUGUGAAAUCUAUGGGCUCAACCCAUAGUCUGCAUUAGAAACUGUCGGGCUUGAGUAUGGGAGAGGUGAGUGGAAUUUCCGGUGUAGCGGUGAAAUGCGUAGAUAUCGUCAAGAACACCGAUAGCGAAGGCAGCUUGCCAAGCAACAACUGACGCUCAGGCACGAAAGUGCGGGGAUCAAACAGG
rnacentral:rRNA from 1 species